rnacentral:rRNA from 1 species
GAUGAACGCUGGCGGCGUGCCUAACACAUGCAAGUAGAACGCUGAAGGAGGAGCUUGCUCUUCUGGAUGAGUUGCGAACGGGUGAGUAACGCGUAGGUAACCUGCCUGGUAGCGGGGGAUAACUAUUGGAAACGAUAGCUAAUACCGCAUGACAACAGUUAUUGCAUGAUAACUGUUUAAAAGGGGCAACUGCUCCACUACCAGAUGGACCUGCGUUGUAUUAGCUAGUUGGUGAGGUAACGGCUCACCAAGGCGACGAUACAUAGCCGACCUGAGAGGGUGAUCGGCCACACUGGGACUGAGACACGGCCCAGACUCCUACGGGAGGCAGCAGUAGGGAAUCUUCGGCAAUGGACGGAAGUCUGACCGAGCAACGCCGCGUGAGUGAAGAAGGUUGUCGGAUCGUAAAGCUCUGUUGCAAGAGAAGAACGAGUGUGAGAGUGGAAAGUUCACACUGUGACGGUAUCUUACCAGAAAGGGACGGCUAACUACGUG